rnacentral:lncRNA from 1 species
UCACAAUAUCUUGGAGGUUCAUGAUAUAAUCUUUGUUGCGAAAUCUUCGAAUCAGUCCAAGACUCACCUUACUUCACUAAGCCACAAGUGAGACAUGGUUAGGAGUUCUUGUUGAGCAUAUUCGAAGUACUUGCUGUGUUUUCAUCUAUCAUUGAGUCUAACGACGAUCCAUGAAGAUUAUGCCACAUUUAUCAACCCGACCAAGCCAUGAUACAUUAACGAAGUCAACACCAAGACAUACGUCUACAUCUACAUCAGCAAAGCAUCAGGAGAUUGAAGUCAUG